rnacentral:lncRNA from 1 species
GGCAGAUUCCUUGUUCAUCAUCAAGUUAUUUUCUUUUCUUUCUCCUUCUUCUAGAGCCAAGCAAAGGAACCUGGUGAUGAAUGAAAGACUGGCCAGCAGCAAGCACUGGGGGAGAAGGCAAUGACUCACAGGCUUCUGAGAACAUGGAGAGGGAUGCUAAACUGGGACUGAGGAAAUGGAAGGAUGGAGAAGAGCCAUUUGAUGUGAGAACCCAACCACAAAAAGAGGUUCAACAAUAUACUUCAAUUUGCAUUGUUACUGUAAAUCAUUCCUUCAGAAAACUGUAUUACAAAACUUCAACAGCUCUGCUCUGCAAAAGAGUACAUUAAAUUUAUGUAACUUUCCUGCUUGUUUUGACAGUAAUGAUCCUGCACCGAAUCAAUCUAUUUAAUGCUGGUGGAUCUGCCCUGUUUGCUAACCUUCUUGUCUUCAUUGUCUUCCAGACUCUGAAUCUGAUAACUUCAUCUGUACAUCUUCCAGUCCUAGAAGUACAAGGCCAACUAAUAAAAAACACACUUUAAAGAGGGGGGGAAAAGGA